AGAGUUUGAUCAUGGCUCAGAAUCAACGCUGGCGGCGUGCCUAAUACAUGCAAGUCGAACGCGAAAGUCCCGCAAGGGACAAGUAGAGUGGCAAACGGGUGAGUAACGCGUGGGUGACCUGCCUUCGAGUGGGGGAUAACGUUCCGAAAGGGACGCUAAUACCGCAUAACAUCCUGCCUUUUAAGAGGUGGAGAGCAAAGCUGGGGAUCGUAAGACCUAGCGCUUGGAGAGGGGCCCGCGUCCGAUUAGCUAGUUGGUGAGGUAAUGGCUCACCAAGGCUACGAUCGGUAGCCGGCCUGAGAGGGCGGACGGCCACACUGGGACUGAGACACGGCCCAGACUCCUACGGGAGGCAGCAGUAGGGAAUUGUUCGCAAUGGGCGCAAGCCUGACGACGCAACGCCGCGUGGAGGAUGAAGACCUUCGGGUCGUAAACUCCUUUCGAUCGAGACGAAUAGCCUUCGGGUGAACAAUCCGGAGGAAUGACGGUACCGAGAGAAGAAGCCCCGGCUAACUCCGUGCCAGCAGCCGCGGUA
rnacentral:rRNA from 1 species